rnacentral:rRNA from 1 species
UGGGGGAUAUUGCACAAUGGGCGAAAGCCUGAUGCAGCGACGCCGCGUGGGGGAUGAAGGCCUUCGGGUUGUAAACUUCUUUUGCUCUGAACAAGGCAUGCUAAUGGGUGUGUUGAGUGUAGGGGUUGAUUAGCGCCGGCUAACUACGUGCCAGCAGCCGCGGUAAUACGUAGGGCGCGAGCGUUGUCCGGAAUUAUUGGGCGUAAAGGGCUUGUAGGUGGCUGGUUGCGUCUGUCGUGAAAGCUCAUGGCUUAACUGUGGGUCUGCGGUGGGUACGGGCUGGCUUGAGUGCAGUAGGGGAGGCUGGAAUUCCUGGUGUAGCGGUGGAAUGCGCAGAUAUCAGGAGGAAUACCGGUGGCGAAGGCGGGUCUCUGGGCUGUUACUGACACUGAGGAGCGAAAGCAUGGGGAGCGAACAGG